rnacentral:tRNA from 1 species
AAAUAAGAAGCAAAAUUUUGCAACUAAUUUCGACCUAGUGCUAGGUUAUAAACCCUUAUUUA